AUUGAACGCUGGCGGCAGGCUUAACACAUGCAAGUCGAGCGGGGGAAGGUAGCUUGCUACCGGACCUAGCGGCGGACGGGCGAGUAAUGCUUAGGAAUCUGCCUAUUAGUGGGGGACAACAUCUCGAAAGGGAUGCUAAUACCGCAUACGUCCUGCGGGAGAAAGCAGGGGAUCUUUGGACCUUGCGCUAAUCGAUGAGCCUAAGUCGGAUUAGCUAGUUGGUGGGGUAAAGGCCUACCAAGGCGACGAUCUGUAGCGGGUCUGAGAGGAUGAUCCGCCACACUGGGACUGAGACACGGCCCAGACUCCUACGGGAGGCAGCAGUGGGGAAUAUUGGACAAUGGGGGGAACCCUGAUCCAGCCAUGCCGCGUGUGUGAAGAAGGCCUUAUGGUUGUAAAGCACUUUAAGCGAGGAGGAGGCUACUUUAGUUAAUACCUAGAGAUAGUGGACGUUACUCGCAGAAUAAGCACCGGCUAACUCUGUGCCAGCAGCCGCCGUAA
rnacentral:rRNA from 1 species